AGAAAACUACGUAUUUGUAUUCUGUAUACACAAACUCUAGCAAAAAUGGCUAAUCUCGAGUUGAAGGCGAAUCGGAACGAUCUACUCCCUUUCGUUGUCGCCCUUCUCAUCGCCGCCCACGUCAUCGCAUUUGUUUACUGGUUUUACAAAUUAGCUACGGAUAGGGCAUCGAAGAAAACGAAGAAGCACUAGCGGCUACAAAGGAGAAUUGGCGAAGGAAGUGAACAUUAUAUGUUUUCGUCAUUUACGUUUCUCGUCUUUGAUUAAUUUUCUGACAAUUGUUCCAUUUUUGAUUGAAAUAUUGCUCUAUUACUUAGUCUCAUCUAUGAAUUGGUUGUUCAAAGUCGUUAAAAAAUAUCUAUGUGAAAUGAUUCCGAUUUGAGUAGUGCAUUUCCUUCGAUUUCGAUCCUACAGUCAAGCAAUAAAUAGGUUCUGUUACAGUGUGAUAUGCUACUUCACUCAGUCAAUACAACAAACAGUUUGUGGGCUCGGUCUCAGAGGCCUAUACUCGCCUCUUUCUGUUUGCGUUUAUGCGUAUCAUCGGCUGGUGUUUAAGGGGGGUCACAUAUAGAUGAGGGUUGCUAUGAUUUCUUCUGUACUUUCAAUAUGAAAGCAGCUUACGGUAGAGCAUUGGGUGCUGCUAAGGAUAUACAAUGCUGUGGAUAUACAAAUUGGGUAUUGCUUGUUCUAGAUUCUGUAUAGUGUGCACCUCGCUCCGGAUAAUCUUCCUCUGGGAAUAGCUUGUUUGCUGGGAGAUGAAGUUGGUGAAGUUGCUUUACUCAUUCUGCAUGAGAAAAGGCUGGGGAAGAAGUCUGAGUGGGCGCCUUACAUCAGCCGCCUUCCUCCUCUGCCAAAGGAUAUGCAUAGCUUGGUGUUCUGGAGUGAUGAGGAAAUGGAUAUGGUUCGACAGAGUGCUCUGUAUAAAGAAACUCUCAAACAGAAGAAUCGGAUGGAAUAAGUUUUUUUUGGCUGUUAAGUUGGUUUUUGAUAACUUCCCCGAAUAUUUCAUAAUGCUACGCUACUGGAUUUCACAUAUGCAUAUGGAUUAGUUACUACUCGAGCAUGGGUGAGCUCAAGGGGCGUUUCCAUGAUUCCCUUUGCGGAUUUCUUGAAUCAUGACGACACUUCAGAGGCGUAUGUUUUGAGUAAUGAAGGCAAGACAACAUUCAGUGGCUAUAGCUGGCUGUGGAUUUGCUCCUGGUGAUGAGGUCCUGAUAAUGGAAAGUUUUCGAAUGCCACACUCAUUCUGGAUUUCGGUUCUGCUGUUUCUUGCUAUUGUUAUGAUCAAGUUCAUGUUGAGCUUAGUGCACCUCAACAUGAUGCUCUCUAUACGGAGAAGUUGGAUAUAUUCUUGGCAGAGAUCGCACACACCAAGGAUCAAGGAUGACAACGAGUUUGCUUACUAUGACAACAAGUCUGCUUCGGCGUGGUUGGAGAGCUACUGUUCGACGUUAUGAAAGAGACAUUUUGCGUUCUACAAUACAAGUUACUACUCUGCUACAACUGUCACUGACCUGCAUCGGCUACUUCUACUACAGUUGCAACAACUGCCAUACAGCUGCUACUUUGCUACAGCUGAUACUAACUACCAUGCAUCUGCUACUCUGCUACAGUUACUACUAUUGCUCUGCAUCUGCUACAGUUACUACUAUUGCUCUGCAUCUGCUACUUCUGCUACUACUGCCCUAUAGCUACUACUCUGCUACAGCUACUACUACUCUGCCUUGCAGCUCUACUUAUGCAACAGCUGCAACUACUACUGUCCUAUAGUUUUGGCUACUACUAUUGCUGCCGAUGUUUGAGGAAAAACAUUUUUGAGAACUUUGUACCAAUCUGGAUAAUAUAGAUGUUCCAGCUUGAGGGGGAGUGUUAAGAAUAUUAGUAUUUUGUCCCACAUCGGUGAUGUGAUAUAGCCUAGCUUAGUGUUUUGUACUAUUAUAUAUGGCCUAUGUUGAGUAAUAAAAUACACCAAAUACAACUACUUUUUCCACUA